AGCGGCAGGCUUAACACAUGCAAGUCGUGGGGUAACGGUGGUGCUUGCACCAGGCGACGACCGGCGCACGGGUGAGUAACGCGUAUGCAAUCUGCCCAUAGCUGGAGAAUAGCCCGAAGAAAUUCGGAUUAAUGCUCCAUAAUAUUCCGAAGAGGCAUCUCUUUGGUUUUAAAGCUCCGGCGGCUAUGGAUGAGCAUGCGUGCCAUUAGGCAGUUGGUGAGGUAACGGCUCACCAAGGCAACGAUGGCUAGGGGUUCUAAAAGGAUGAUCCCACACACUGGUACUGAGACACGGACCAGACUCCUACGGGAGGCAGCAGUGAGGAAUAUUGGUCAAUGGACGCAAGUCUGAACCAGCCAUGCCGCGUGCAGGAUGACGGCCCUACGGGUUGUAAACUGCUUUUCUACGGGAAGAAAGUGCCCCACGUGUGGGGAAUUGAAUGUACCGUAUGAAUAAGCACCGGCUAACUCCGUGCCAUUAGCCGCGGUAAUACGGAGGAUGCAAGCGUUAUCCGGAUUUAUUAGGUUUAAAGGGUGUGUAGGCGGAGCAGUAAGUCAGUGGUGAAAUCCUGCGGCUUAACCGUAGAACUGCCAUUGAAACUACUGCCCUUGAGUACAGUUGAGGUAGGCGGAAUGUGUCAUGUAGCGGUGAAAUGCAUAGAGAUGACACAGAACACCGAUUGCGUAGGCAGCUUACUAAACUGUCACUGACGCUGAGGCACGAAAGCGUGGGGAGCGAACAGGAUUAGAUACCCUGGUAGUCCACGCCGUAAACGAUGAUCACUCGUUGUUAGCGAUAUAUUGUUAGCGACUGAGCGAAAGCAUUAAGUGAUCCACCUGGGGAGUACGUUGGCAACAAUGAAACUCAAAGGAAUUGACGGGGGCCCGCACAAGCGGAGGAACAUGUGGUUUAAUUCGAUGAUACGCGAGGAACCUUACCUGGGCUAAAAUGUAGUAUGACCGUACCCGAAAGGGUAUUUCUCUGGGACGAACUACAAGGUGCUGCAUGGUUGUCGUCAGCUCGUGCUGUGAGGUGUCGGGUUAAGUCCCAUAACGAGCGCAACCCCUAUCCUUAGUUGCCAGCGAGUAAUGUCGGGGACUCUAAGGAAACUGCCCGCGUAAGCGGUGAGGAAGGUGGGGAUGACGUCAGGUCAGCACGGCCCUUACGUCCAGGGCUACACACGUGCUACAAUGGCCGGUACAAAGGGCAGCUACAUGGCGACAUGAUGCUAAUCUCUAAAGCCGGUCUCAGUUCGGAUCGAAGUCUGCAACUCGACUUCGUGAAGUUGGAAUCGCUAGUAAUCGCGUAUCAGCAAUGACGCGGUGAAUACGUUCCCGGGCCUUGUACACACCGCCCGUCAAGCCAUGGAAGCUGGGGGUACCUGAAGUCCGUCACCGAAAG
rnacentral:rRNA from 1 species